CGAACGGGUGAGUAACGCGUGAGUAACCUGUCCUGGAGUGGGGGACAACAGUUGGAAACGACUGCUAAUACCGCAUAAGCCCACGGAUCCGCAUGGAUCUGCGGGAAAAGGAUUUAUUCGCUUCAGGAUGGACUCGCGUCCAGUUAGCUAGUUGGUGAGGUAACGGCCCACCAAGGCGACGAUUGGUAGCCGGACUGAGAGGUUGAACGGCCACAUUGGGACUGAGACACGGCCCAAACUCCUACGGGAGGCAGCAUG
rnacentral:rRNA from 1 species